CUUCAGUCUCCCUCUCCAUAUAUUAGCAUACAAGCUCUUUUCCUCUCAAUCAAUCCUCAAAAUAACUACGAAAGAAAAAACCUCUGCUUUUUUCACUUUUCCUUUUAUCGUUUCUCCUUUUUGCAGUGAAAAUGACAGAGCCUGCAAUAGCAACACAAACAGCAGCACCAGCAGUGGCUCUGCUGAAAGAUGAGCUCGACAUUGUUAUACCAACCAUAAGGAACUUGGACUUUCUUGAGAUGUGGAGGCCAUUCUUUCAGCCUUACCAUCUCAUCAUUGUUCAAGUUGGUGAUCCUUCAAAGACCAUCAAGGUCCCUGAGGGAUUUGACUAUGAGCUUUACAACAGGAACGAUAUUAACAGGAUCCUCGGUCCUAAGGCUUCUUGCAUUUCCUUCAAGGACUCUGCUUAUCGUUGCUUUGGGUUACAUGGUAUCCAAGAAGAAGUAUAUCUUCACCAUUGACGACGACUGCUUUAUUUUGUUCGUCAGCUACGGUCUUGGAAGUGUCAAAGUCGAAGUCAUCCACACUAUCUAAGCCCCUUUUUGGUACUCUUUCAGUCGAACUUUGAUAAUGGCAUGUAUAGGACUGACCUUUGUUGUUAAUUAAGUAUCUUUUGGUAAUGUAUAUUCGUAUAGCCAUGCGAAAAUGGCUUGUAUAUGUUGAGUAUGGCAUUAUAAUCAUUUUGUAUAUAUAUGGUCUUAUGAUAUGGUUAUUGAGUGGUAUGGAAAUGCUUGGUAAUGAUUAGCCAUUGGAAUGGCUAAUCAUGAUCAUAA